UUUAGGUCGAUUAUGUCUUACAUAUGGUGAUAGUCGAUUAUUUGGAGUCGGCUUUCUGCUGCAGAAAACCACCGGUUUGUGAGUUUUCAUACAUGUUUUUAUAGCAGCGUUUUUGCAAAUAUAUCAGAGACCACCUUACAUACAAUACAUAAACUACAGUUAGACUUCACAGACGAGCAAUUGCUGCGGAAGGUGUGUGUUGAAGAGCUAGGUGGCCCAACUAUUGUGGUUUUUAGAAAGGAAAGCUCGUAUGCGCGUAUUUCUACCAUUGUCUCAUGUGGUGCUACGGACAAUUUCAUAGGAGACAUGGAGCGUGUUGUGUAUGAUGGUGCAAAUACCUGUUUAACAUGUGACGGUUAUUAUGUGCCUAGUACUGCUACCUCUGAAAUGAAUUUGACUUCCGAAAAACGACUUCGUAAAACGUGCACGCGGUGGUCAUGCAAAAGAAAUCGAAUUUCAUACUUAAAUGUAGAUGUUCAAACUCGAUAAUAAA